ACGAACGCUGGCGGCGUGCUUAACCCAUGCAAGUCGCACGGAAAGGCCCUGCUUUUGUGGGGUGCUCGAGUGGCGAACGGGUGAGUAACACGUGAGUAACCUGCCCUUGACUUUGGGAUAACUUCAGGAAACUGGGGCUAAUACCGGAUAGGAGCUCCUGCUGCAUGGGGGGGGUUGGAAAGUUUCGGCGGUUGGGGAUGGACUCGCGGCUUAUCAGCUUGUUGGUGGGGUAGUGGCUUACCAAGGCUUUGACGGGUAGCCGGCCUGAGAGGGUGACCGGCCACAUUGGGACUGAGAUACGGCCCAGACUCCUACGGGAGGCAGCAGUGGGGAAUAUUGCACAAUGGGCGGAAGCCUGAUGCAGCAACGCCGCGUGCGGGAUGACGGCCUUCGGGUUGUAAACCGCUUUCGCCUGUGACGAAGCGUGAGUGACGGUAAUGGGUAAAGAAGCACCGGCUAACUACGUG
rnacentral:rRNA from 1 species